CUACGGGGCGCACCAGUGAGGAAUAUUGGACAAUGGGCGCAAGCCUGAUCCAGCAAUACCGCGUGUGUGAAGAAGGCCUGCGGGUUGUAAAGCACUUUCAAUUGUGAAGAAAAGCGAGAGGUUAAUAGCCUUUUGUCUUGACGUUAACUUUAGAAGAAGCACCGGCUAACUCUGUGCCAGCAGCCGCGGUAAUACAGAGGGUGCGAGCGUUAAUCGGAAUUACUGGGCGUAAAGCGUGCGUAGGCGGUUUAGUAAGUCAGAUGUGAAAGCCCUGGGCUCAACCUGGGAACUGCAUUUGAAACUGCUGAACUAGAGUGUGGUAGAGGGAAGUGGAAUUCCGGGUGUAGCGGUGAAAUGCGUAGAUAUCCGGAGGAACACCAGUGGCGAAGGCGACUUCCUGGACCAACACUGACGCUGAGGUACGAAAGCGUGGGUAGCAAACAGGAUUAGAUACCCUCGUAGUC
rnacentral:rRNA from 1 species